rnacentral:rRNA from 1 species
AGAGUUUGAUCCUGGCUCAGGAUGAACGCUAGCGGCAGGCCUAAUACAUGCAAGACGAACGGGAAUCGGCAGCAAUGCUGAGGAGAGUGUCGUAAGGGUGCGUAACACGUAUGCAAUUUGCCCGCAACUAGGGCAUAGCUCGGGGAAACUCGAAUUAACUCCCCAUAACAUAUAGAGAUGGCAUCAUUUUUAUAUUAAAUUUCCGGAGGUUGCGGAUAAGCAUGCGCCUGAUUAGUUAGUUGGCGGGGUAACGGCCCACCAAGACGAUGAUCAGUAGGGGAACUGAGAGGUUGAUCCCCCACACUGGCACUGAGAUACGGGCCAGACUCCUACGGGAGGCAGCAGUAGGGAAUAUUGGACAAUGGGUGCAAGCCUGAUCCAGCCAUGCCGCGUGCAGGAAGACGGCCUUCUGGGUUGUAAACUGCUUUUGUCAGGGGAUAAAAAGCUCGUGCGCGAGAAAUUGAAUGUACCUGGCGAAUAAGCCACGGCUAACUACGUGCCAGUAGCCGCGGUAAUACGUAGGUGGCAAGCGUUGUCCGGAUUUAUUGGGUUUAAAGGGUGCGUAGGCGGUCCUGUAAGUCAGUGGUGAAAUACGGCAGCUCAACUGUCGAGGUGCCAUUGAUACUGCGGGACUUGAGUGUUGAUGAGGUAGGCGGAAUUGACGGUGUAGCGGUGAAAUGCUUAGAUAUCGUCAAGAGCA